ensembl:lncRNA
AAGCCCGGCCACUCAGACCCCAGGCCUCCACGACCCGGGUCCAGAAGGCAGACUUCCCGCAUUACCAACCUCCCUCAGUGAAGCCAGCCAGAGAGUUACCCGCCAAGGCCCAGGCGCGACGACCGCAGAGGCGUGCGGGGAUCCAGGGCCGGGCCCGCUGCUCUCCGCCCGCCUGCGCCGCUCGCUCCAGCCGACUGCUGCCUCUCCGGCGGCGCCUGCCGCAUCGGGUCCCCAAGCCCUGGGCUGGCGGAAACUGGAGGAAGGUGGCGCGGGCACGAUUCCUUCCCCCCAGCCCUGGCGGGGGAGCUGGAGAGGGCGCAGCGCCGCCCGGAGUUGGAGGCGCCCGCCAGCCCGCGCGCUGCCCGCCGCGCCCGGGUCUGGAUUCCCCAGCGACUGCGCCGAGCGCCUCGGGAGCCGCAGGAAACGCCUCCUGCUCCGCGGUUGUCGCCACCAAGUUCGAGAAGAAAGGUGCAGUACAGAUAGAAGCUGCGGGGCUCCCCGUUCCCGGAGGCGACGAGGCUGGAGCGCAGCGGAGCCCCUACCUUUCCGGCGGGGCGGAUAACAGCCGCGCGCCCUCUUCGGGCGUCAUGUACAGGAAAAUCACCGCGAAGGGAGGGCGGGCGAAAGGCGGCGGGUGGCUUCAGGACAAGGGCUGAAACACAAUGAUGGAAAUGUUACUGGAGAAGACAACCUCUAACUCAUUGACAGAAAUGAAACUGAGCCAAGUGAAUGUGAAUGUGUACCUUUAAGAAGAUUUCAUUGGAAAUUCAGUAGAAAGAAGAGCAGGCUGCUCCUGAACAAAGGAAGAUGUAAGCUUUUUAUUGAUUUGCUGGGUGGUGGGCAAAAGUCUAGUAGUUUUCCACUGACCAAGGCACUGCUUCAGAAGAUGUUUCUUCCUGGAUGAUACUUGGACCAUGAGGAAGUCAUAGUCAACUUUUCCCAGGAACUUCUGAGUUGCUAUUGCAAUUGGUACCAUCAUCCUGUGCAAACAUCCUGGCCUUAUGGCUCUGUCUGGGCCUUAAGAUAGGGCUGGAGGACUUUAGAUGCUUGGGCUGCUUGCUGUAGCUACUGAAAAAGCAGCAAAGGUGAGGUAGAAGAAAAAUAUACGAGCUCCAACAGUUGAUCCAGACAUGCAGAGCUGAGUGACUCUGACCCAAAAGUUAAGGCAGCAAAAUGAAAUGAAAUGAAAUGAAGAGAGAGAUGCCAAACUUUUUCAUCCUGUUCUAGUCACCCAUCAGACAUCUGAAAGCCCAAGUCCAGUGAGUGUUCCUGCCAGAAGUGGCCUUCAAGUCCCUGAAAAGGAAUGUAGAUAACCAUUAGCAUUAUACCCACACAUCAGAAAUGUUACCUAUAGCAGAGCUGGUGGGAAACUAAUAAUGUAUUGUUCAGCUAUGUGGCCUCCAAAAGUUGACUAAGAUCAAGUAAAGCUAAAGGGUGUAUUUAAUUUUUUCCCCUCAGUAACAAUUUCGUCUUGUGCAAGCAUGUGUUUCUGUGGUUUUAUCAGGGUCUCAUGACAGGUCUGUUUAAAGAGCACCAAGAUAGAGAAACAACAUGCCAUGCUACUAAUGUUAAUAAUUUAUUGUACCCAGGGGUUUAUUUCCUUGCCCCAGCCUUUUAUUCCGUCAUGGUGUUCCUUGACUGCCUCAGAAAGAAUAC